rnacentral:rRNA from 1 species
AAUCAACGCUGGCGGCGUGCCUCAGACAUGCAAGUCGAACGAUUAAAGCUCUCUUCGGAGAGUGCAUAGAGUGGCGCACGGGUGAGUAACACGUAAGUAAUCUACCUUCGAGUGGGGAAUAACGUCCGGAAACGGACGCUAAUACCGCAUAAUGCAGCGGCAUCGCAAGAUGACAGUUGUUAAAGAUUUAUCGCUUGAAGAGGAGCUUGCGGCAGAUUAGCUAGUUGGUAAGGUAAUGGCUUACCAAGGCUACGAUCUGUAACCGGUCUAAGAGGACGGUCGGUCACACUGACACUGAAUAACGGGUCAGACUCCUACGGGAGGCAGCAGUCGGGAAUCUUGCGCAAUGGGCGAAAGCCUGACGCAGCGACGCCGCGUGA